rnacentral:rRNA from 1 species
GCAGUGAGGAAUAUUGGUCAAUGGGCGCAAGCCUGAACCAGCCAUGCCGCGUGCAGGAUGACGCAUCUAUGGUGUGUAAACUGCUUUUGUACAGGAAGAAACAUCCCGACGAGUCGGGACUUGACGGUACUGUAAGAAUAAGGAUCGGCUAACUCCGUGCCAGCAGCCGCGGUAAUACGGAGGAUCCAAGCGUUAUCCGGAAUCAUUGGGUUUAAAGGGUCCGUAGGCGGCUUAAUAAGUCAGCGGUGAAAGUUUUUGGCUUAACCAAAAAAUUGCCAUUGAUACUGUUAGGCUUGAAUUUUUGUGAAGUAACUAGAAUAUGUAGUGUAGCGGUGAAAUGCUUAGAUAUUACAUGGAAUACCAAUUGCGAAGGCAGGUUACUAACAAACGAUUGACGCUGAUGGACGAAAGCGUGGGUAGCGAACAGGAUUAGA